rnacentral:misc_RNA from 1 species
AUCUAUCAACCCAACAUAAAUUUAAUCUUGUGAUUGGUGUUUGGAUGAUGAAGGUUGCUGGAAUCAAUCUCAGCUCCUUUAAAAUGCAUUAGCGGAACUUUGUAUCAGCUUUGGUUUGAUAAUAUUUUAUCCACACUGUUGCUGGUAAACAUGGUUCAGCUUCAAAUUGUCUUAUUCGUGAGACUGUCCAAUUUUUGGGCAUUACUUUGA